rnacentral:rRNA from 1 species
AGUGAACGCUGGCGGUAGGCCUAACACAUGCAAGUCGAACGGCAGCACAGUAAGAGCUUGCUCUUACGGGUGGCGAGUGGCGGACGGGUGAGGAAUACAUCGGAAUCUACUUUUUCGUGGGGGAUAAUGUAGGGAAACUUACGCUAAUACCGCAUACGACCUACGGGUGAAAGCAGGGGAUCUUCGGACCUUGCGCGAUUGAAUGAGCCGAUGUCGGAUUAGCUAGUUGGCGGGGUAAAGGCCCACCAAGGCGACGAUCCGUAGCUGGUCUGAGAGGAUGAUCAGCCACACUGGAACUGAGACACGGUCCAGACUCCUACGGGAGGCAGCAGUGGGGAAUAUUGGACAAUGGGCGCAAGCCUGAUCCAGCCAUACCGCGUGGGUGAAGAAGGCCUUCGGGUUGUAAAGCCCUUUUGUUGGGAAAGAAAGGCAGCAGGUUAAUACCCCGCUGUUCUGACGGUACCCAAAGAAUAAGCACCGGCUAACUUCGUG